AUUGAACGUUGGCGGCAGGCUUAGACAUGCAAGACGAACGGGUACAGCAGAGCUUGCUCUGGCUGACGAGUGCCGGACGGGUGAGUAACGCGUAGGAAUCUACCCAGUAGCGGGGGAUAGCCCGGGGAAACCCGGAAUAAUACCGCAUACGCCCCACGGGGGAAAGAGGGCCUCUUCUUGAAAGCUCUCACUAUUGGAGGAGCCUGCGUUGGAUUAGCUAGUUGGUGGGGUAAAGGCCUACCAAGGCGACGAUCCAUAGCUGGUCUGAGAGGACGAUCAGCCACACUGGAACUGAGACACGGUCCAGACUCCUACGGGAGGCAGCAGUCAGGAAUAUUGUGCAAUGGGGGAAACCCUGACACAGCCAUGCCGCGUGUGUGAAGAAGGCCUUAGGGUUGUAAAGCACUUUCAGUAGGGAGGAACUAGCAGCGUUAAUACCGCUGUGAGAUGACGUUACCUACAGAAGAAGAUCCGGCUAACUCCGUGCCAGCAGCCGCGGUAAUACGGAGGGAUCGAACGUUAAUCGGAAUUACUGGGCGUAAAGCGCGCGUAGGUGGUUUGUUAAGUGGGAUGUGAAAGCCCCGGGCUCAACCUGGGAACUGCAUUCCAAACUGACAAACUAGAGUACGAUAGAGGGGGGUAGAAUUCAGAGUGUAGCGGUGAAAUGCGUAGAUAUUCUGAGGAAUACCGGUGGCGAAGGCGGCCCCCUGGAUUGAUACUGACACUGA
rnacentral:rRNA from 1 species